rnacentral:rRNA from 1 species
UCAGAUUGAACGCUGGGGAAUGCUUACACAUGCAAGUCGAGCGGCCGGGGCCAACCUGGCGGCGAGGGCGAACGGGUGAGUAACAUAUCGGAACGUACCCCGUCGUGGGGGAUAACUACCCGAAAGGGGCUAAUACCGCAUACGACCAGAGGGUGAAAGUGGGGGAUCGCAAGACCUCACGCGAUGGGAGCGGCCGAUAUCGGAUUAGCUAGUUGGUGAGGUAAAGGCUCACCAAGGCGACGAUCCGUAGCGGGUCUGAGAGGACGACCCGCCACACUGGAACUGAGACACGGUCCAGACUCCUACGGGAGGCAGCAGUGGGGAAUUUUGGACAAUGGGGGCAACCUGAUCCAGCCAUUCCGCGUGAGUGAAGAAGGCCUUCGGGUUGUAAAGCUCUUUCGGCAGGAACGAAACGGUGCGGGCUAAUAUCCUGUAUCAAUGACGGUACCUGAAGAAGAAGCACCGGCUAACUACGUGCCAGCAGCCGCGGUAAUACGUAGGGUGCGAGCGUUAAUCGGAAUUACUGGGCGUAAAGCGUGCGCACGCGGUUCUAUAAGACAGAUGUGAAAUCCCCGGGCUUAACCUGGGAACUGCGUUUGUGACUGUAGGACUCGAGUGUGGCAGAGGGGGGUGGAAUUCCACGUGUAGCAGUGAAAUGCGUAGAGAUGUGGAGGAACACCGAUGGCGAAGGCAGCCCCCUGGGUCAACACUGACGCUCAUGCACGAAAGCGUGGGGAGCAAACAGGAUUAGAUACCCUGGUAGUCCACGCCCUAAACGAUGCGAACUAGGUGUUGGAGAAGGAGACUUCUUUAGUACCGUACGUAACGCGUGAAGUUCGCCGCCUGGGGAGUACGGUCGCAAGAUUAAAACUCAAAGGAAUUGACGGGGACCGCACAAGCGGUGGAUGAUGUGGAUUAAUUCGAUGCAACGCGAAAAACCUUACCUACCCUUGACAUGCCUCGAAUCCUGCAGAGAUGUGGGAGUGCUCGAAAGAGAGCGAGGACACAGGUGCUGCAUGGCUGUCGUCAGCUCGUGUCGUGAGAUGUUGGGUUAAGUCCCGCAACGAGCGCAACCCUUGUCAUUAGUUGCCAUCAUUCAGUUGGGCACUCUAAUGAGACUGCCGGUGACAAACCGGAGGAAGGUGGGGAUGACGUCAAGUCCUCAUGGCCCUUAUGGGUAGGGCUUCACACGUCAUACAAUGGUCGGUACAGAGGGUUGCCAAGCCGCGAGGUGGAGCCAAUCCCAGAAAGCCGAUCGUAGUCCGGAUCGUAGUCUGCAACUCGACUGCGUGAAGUCGGAAUCGCUAGUAAUCGUGGAUCAGCAUGCCACGGUGAAUACGUUCCCGGGUCUUGUACACACCGCCCGUCACACCAUGGGAGUGGGUUUCACCAGAAGUAGGUAGCCUAACCGCAAGGGGGGCGCUUACCACGGUGGGAUUCAUGACUGGGGUGAAGUCGUAACAAGGUAGCCGUAGGGGAACUGCGGCUGGAUCACCUCCUU